CCGGGGGCCGGUCCAAUCCCAUCUCCCCAGCAGGCCCCGCCCAUAGUAACUCCCCGGGACAACUUCUGGGCUACUUCCCCGGGGUCCCACCGCUGUCGCCCCGAGCGCUCUGGUAGCUGAGGACCCACUUGGGGUCUGGCCAGGUAUUCCCGGGGUGAGGCUGCAAGCCGUGUGUUGUGUCAGGCACCACAGAUGCAGGGUGGAAUGCGACAGACAGAGUCACACACCUCAGGAGCCACCAUCUCACUGGAGGACAGAAGGAAGCCAAUAGAGACGGGGUUUCGCCAUCUUGGCCAGG